rnacentral:rRNA from 1 species
AUUGAACGCUGGCGGCAGGCCUAACACAUGCAAGUCGAAUGGUAACAGGAAACAGCUUGCUGUUUCGCUGACGAGUGGCGGACGGGUGAGUAAUGUCUGUGAAACGGCCUGAUGGAGGGGGAGAACUACGGGAAACGGUUGCUAAUACCGCAUAACGUCGCAAGACCAAAGAGGGGGACCUUCGGGCCUCUUGCCGUGAGAUGUGCCCAGAUGGGAUUAGCUAGUAGGUGGGGUAACGGCUCACCUAGGCGACGAUCCCUAGCUGGUCUGAGAGGAGGACCAGCCACACUGGAACUGAGACACGGUCCAGACUCCUACGGGAGGCAGCAGUGGGGAAUAUUGCACAAUGGGCGCAAGCCUGAUGCAGCCAUGCCGCGUGUAUGAAGAAGGCCUUCGGGUUGUAAAGUACUUUCAGCGGGGAGGAAGGCAGUAAAGUUAAUACCUUUGCUCAUUGACGUUACCCGCAGAAGAAGCACCGGCUAACUCCGUG